AUGGGAAAAAAACGAUACAUAGAAGUAUUCCAGUGCUCUAGUGAUGACAUGAAUUUAGUGCACUCGGGAGGAUUACAAUCCACGAAUGCUUCAUCUCCGGUGACAAAGGCCCUGAUUUCACCUGGUGGAACCAUGAUUGGUCCCUCGUUUUCACCCGGCGGUGUGAUUCCUUACUCAGCGUACAGUCACACUCACACGCAACCAAUGCUCGGACCGAUGAACACGUCUCGGUGUCAGUCUGUACAGCCUCCUACAAUUGCACCGCCUAAUUUCUUUCAACCAAUUGUUUACUGGCCGUACCCCUCAUCUCCCGUUUCGCCCCCUCAUCAGCCUCCCACGUUGGUCAUCAUGCAAUCACCACCUCCUCCUCCUCCACCACCUUAUUCGAUGCACCAUGACGUUGCAAAUUUUUUACACUCCAUGUCUGACUGGGGCAUGGACUAUAUGGCACCAAACUCACAAUUGAAUGGUCCUCCCAUGAAUUUCGGUCCAAUGGGUAUCCAUCCUGCUGUUGCUUGA
rnacentral:lncRNA from 1 species